rnacentral:rRNA from 1 species
AUUGAACGCUGGCGGCAUGCUUUACACAUGCAAGUCGAGCGGCAGCGCGGGGGCAACCUUGGCGGCGAGCGGCGAACGGGUGAGUAAUGCAUCGGAACGUAUCCUGUAGUGGGGAAUAACUCACCGAAAGGUGAGCUAAUACCGCAUAAGCUCUGAGGAGGAAAGCGGGGGACCGAAAGGCCUCGCGCUGCAGGAGCGGCCGAUGUCCGAUUAGCUAGUUGGUGAGGUAAAGGCUCACCAAGGCGACGAUCGGUAGCUGGUCUGAGAGGAUGAUCAGCCACACUGGGACUGAGACACGGCCCAGACUCCUACGGGAGGCAGCAGUGGGGAAUUUUGGACAAUGGGGGAAACCCUGAUCCAGCCAUGCCGCGUGAGUGAAGAAGGCCUUCGGUUGUAAAGCUCUUUCGGUACGGAACGAAUUAGCUUGGACGUAAUACUCUGAGUAGAUGACGGUACCGUAAGAAGAAGCACCGGCUAACUACGUGCCAGC